CCUACGGGAGGCAGCAGUGAGGAAUAUUGGUCAAUGGGCGCAAGACUGAACCAGCCAAGUCGCGUGCGGGAGGACGGCCCUACGGGUUGUAAACCUCUUUUACCGGGGGGCAACGUGCGCCACGUGUGGCGUCACUGAGAGUACCCGUAGAAAAAGCAUCGGCUAACUCCGUGCCGGCAGCCGCGGUAAUACGGAGGAUGCGGGGGUUACCCGGAUUUAUUGGGUUUAAAGGGUUCGUAGCCGGAUGUUGAAGGCAGGGGUCAAAUUGAGGGGCUCAACCCCUUCCCGCCAUUGAAACUGGCGUGCUGGAGUGGAAGAGAAGUAUGCGGAAUGCGUGGUGUAGCGGUGAAAUGCAUAGAUAUCACGCAGAACCCCGAUUGCGAAGGCAGCAUGCCGGAUUCCGACUGACGCUGAAGCACGAAAGCGCGGGGAUCGAACAGGAUUAGAUACCCGGGUAGUC
rnacentral:rRNA from 1 species